rnacentral:rRNA from 1 species
GUUGUUGCGGUUAAAAAGCUCGUAGUUGGAUUCCUGUAUGGAAGGGGCGUCCCCACCCUUUGGAUGGGGGUUGCUACCUUCUUUGCAUCUUCCGGAGUAGAUGUUCCUCACUUAACUGUGAGGACAUCGUGCUCGGGUCAUUUACUUUGAGGAAAAGAGAGUGUUCCAAGCAGGCAAACGCCUGAAUACGUUAGCAUGGAAUAAUAGCAUCGGAUCAUCGUUCAGCUGUUGGUGUCUGGACGAGGAUAAAGGUGAACAGGGAUUGUUGGGGGCAUUCGUAUUUAACUGUCAGAGGUGAAAUUCUUGGAUUUGUUGAAGACGAACUACUGCGAAAGCAUUUGCCAAAGAUGUUCUCAUUGAUCAAGAACGAAAGUUAGGUGAUCGAAGACGAUCAGAUACCGUCCUAGUCUUAACCAUAAACUAUGCCAACUGGAGAUAGGACGUGUUUAUUUUACGACUCUUCCUGCAUCUUGAGAGAAAUCAAAGUCUUUGGGUUCCGGGGGGAGUAUGGUCGCAAGGCUGAAACUUAAAGGAAUUGACGGAAGGGCACCACCAGGAGUGGAGCCUGCGGCUUAAUUUGACUCAACACGGGGAAACUUACCAGGUCCGGACAUAGGUAGGAUUGACAGACUGAGAGCUCUUUCUAGAUUCUAUGGGUGGUGGUGCAUGGCCGUUCUUAGUUGGUGGAGUGAUUUGUCUGGUUUAUUCCGUUUACGAACGAGACCUUAACCUGCUAAAUAGCUACAUGUAACCUCGGUUACAUGGAUCGCUUCUUAGAGGGACUUUGUGUGUCUAACGC